GGCUGCGGGAAGGGGGCUGGGGAUAGAGGGUGAAGGAGGUGGCCUCCGCGGGGGGUGGGGGGCACCCAUCCCUGGAGGGCUGAGAGUCCAGGUUCUCUUAAAACUGCCGACCCAGACUUGGGUUCGAGUAACAGGAACUCGGGUGCAGGACAGACAUGGGGACAGGCAGUGGGGGGUGUGUAGCCUCCAGGGAGGAGCUCCACGUGGAUGGGGCCUGACCUUUGAAGAUCCUGAGGGUCAAACCACAUGGACAGGGUGAAGGCACCUAAAUGAGGCCCAGCUGCCUUAGCAAUGAGUGAGCUCCCCAUCUUGAGAGAAAAGCAAGCAGAGCUGAAUACCCACCUACACUGAGCUUCUGGGCAGGAAGGUGAGGCAAGCUUCCCCACAGGGAAGAUAGGGAGGGGCUGGGGACAGGCAUGCAAAGAAGACUUCACAAAAGUGGGCUUUGAAGGCUGAAUAGGAGUUCUCUCGGUGGGCAGGGCGGAGAUGAUGUGCCCAGUCUCUGACCUACAUUACUCCCUCUAAUCCUCACAAGACCCCUCGGGGUGGAACUAGGAAACCGAGACCCUGAGAGGUUAGGUAGCUUUCUCCAGCUCACACAGGAUCGCAUCGCAGGCAGCCUGGCCUCGGGCGGGAGGGGGCGAGAGGUCGGAUCUGGGGCUGCAGAGGUUAGCAGGGGCCUGGAUGGAAAGGCGGCGGGUCAGACAGGAAAGAAAUGAACGCCAGACCCCCCCCCCCCCCCGGGGUGUGGGGGUCCCGGAGCGGAGCUGUGAGGCCUCAUUUCCUGAGGUGCGGGAAUCAGGCCGGCGGAGGCCAACAGCAGGAAGGGCCCGGCCGCGUGGCCUUGGCAGGCAAGCAUCUUCCUGGAUGCCCGCUACUGCUGCGAGGGGGCCCUCAUCUCCCAAGAGUGGGUGCUCGCAGGAGCCAGCUGCUUUGGCAGCGGGCCUCGGUCCCAGUUCAGAGUGACCCUGGGCCCAGACCGCCUGGUGCUGGACAGUUGCAAGAGCAUUUCCCGUGUAGAGGAGCUGCUCCUGUCCCCAGGAGGGAGUGAGGGCUCUGCGUCCGGUGGCCUGGCCCUGGCUCGACUGGCAAGGCCACCACCUCUCAGCAGCGCCGUGCAGCCGGUCCCUCUGGCCACCCGGCCCCAACCUUUCCUCCCACGGCUGCUCUGAUGGGCCCAAGGGUUUGAGGCUGAUAUCGAUCCCUACAUCCCACCCCGAGAGCUGCACAGUGUCCCGCUGAGACCACUGCAUAUCCACACCUGCAAAGAUGCCUUUCGCCUCCACCCUGACUGUCCUGACCCGGAGGCCAGCCUGCCUGAGGGCUCCCAGUGCACCAAGCCCCCCACCGGCCCCUCUGAACUGGUGGUGUCUGAUGGGAGCCCCCUGGUCUGCUUCCAAGCUAACAGCUGGCUGCUACAGGGGGCGAUCACCUGGGGUCCCUGCUGGGGGCCUGGCCUCCCAGAAGUCUACAGGCCUGUGCAUCCCUUCAUUUCCUGGAUCAGAGAUAAGGUCUCUAAUGCCACUUUUCCCACCCUGGCCAAGAAGCGCCGUUGGGCCCCGCCUGGGACCAGACAGAGGAGGCAGUGAGGAUCUUUAGCCUGUGAAGUCCUGGGUUUGAACCCUGAUCCGGCUACUUACCUGCCUCUGUGACUGUUCCCAGCAAACUCCCCUCUCUGGAUCUGCUUCCUCUUUGAGUAAUUGAGAUGUAUUCACAAUUAUUCCUUCAUCCAACAAUGUUACCAGUGCUUCCUAUGUGCCAGGCAACCAGAACACAGGAUCAGUGGGGCCCCUGGUCUCAGGCAACAGGCGGGCUUGUCUAGAGGAGGGGAGGCAA